rnacentral:rRNA from 1 species
AUACGGAGGAUCCGAGCGUUAUCCGGAUUUAUUGGGUUUAAAGGGUGCGCAGGCGGCCAUUUAAGUCAGCGGUUAAAUCGUGGGGCUCAACCCCAUUCUGCCGUUGAUACUGGGUGGCUUGAUUGCGGUCGAGGUUGGCGGAAUUCGUUGUGUAGCGGUGAAAUGCAUAGAUAUGACGAAGAACACCGAUUGCGUAGGCAGCUGACCAGACCGCAAAUGACGCUCAUGCUCGAAAGUGCUGGGGUCGAACAGGAUUAGAUACCCUGGUAGUCCGCACAGUAAACGAUGAAUACUUGUUUUCGGCGAUAUAAUGUCGGAGGCAAAGCGAAAGCGAUAAGUAUUCAAGCUGGGGAGUACGCCGGCAACGGUGAAACUCAAAUGAAUUGACGGGG